CACAGCCCAAGAUCACCAGGCUAUGUGAGACUCGUCUCGCUAGCCCGUCAUCCAGACCCUGGCUCAGCCGAGACUCGCCACACAUGUCCAGCUGGUGAACCGGCUCUGAUACCAAAUGUAACGACCCAGCCAACUAGCAACAAUAACUCGUUGGGCCCAAUCACCGGCCCAAAAUGCUUAAGCCCAGUUAUUAUUACUAGUGUCUAAGUCUCUUAUAAACCCAAUGGCAACCCCAUUCCCAUCCGAUGUGGGAUUAUUAGGGUGUCACA
rnacentral:lncRNA from 1 species